rnacentral:rRNA from 1 species
CCUACGGGAGGCAGCAGUAGGGAAUAUUGCUCAAUGGGGGAAACCCUGAAGCAGCAACGCCGCGUGGAGGAUGAAGGUUUUCGGAUUGUAAACCCCUUUUGUUAGAGAAGAUAAUGACGGUAUCUAACGAAUAAGCACCGGCUAACUCCGUGCCAGCAGCCGCGGUAAUACGGAGGGUGCAAGCGUUACUCGGAAUCACUGGGCGUAAAGAGCGCGUAGGCGGGUUAGCAAGUCAGAUGUGAAAUCCUAGGGCUUAACCAUAGAACUGCAUUUGAAACUGUUAUUCUAGAGUAUGGGAGAGAUAGGUGGAAUGCUUGGUGUAGGGGUAAAAUCCGUAGAGAUCAAGAGGAAUACUCAUUGCGAAGGCGACCUGCUAGAACAUAACUGACGCUGAUGCGCGAAAGCGUGGGGAGCAAACAGGAUUAGAUACCCCAGUAGUC